UGAGGAAUAUUGGUCAAUGGGCGAGAGCCUGAACCAGCCAAGUAGCGUGCAGGAUGACGGCCCUAUGGGUUGUAAACUGCUUUUAUGUGGGGAUAAAGUGCGUGACGUGUCAUGCAUUGCAGGUACCACAUGAAUAAGGACCGGCUAAUUCCGUGCCAGCAGCCGCGGUAAUACGGAAGGUCCGGGCGUUAUCCGGAUUUAUUGGGUUUAAAGGGAGCGUAGGCUGUCUAUUAAGCGUGUUGUGAAAUUUACCGGCUCAACCGGUGGCUUGCAGCGCGAACUGGUCGACUUGAGUAUGCAGGAAGUAGGCGGAAUUCAUGGUGUAGCGGUGAAAUGCUUAGAUAUCAUGAGGAACUCCGAUUGCGAAGGCAGCUUGCUGCAGUGCGACUGACGCUUAGGCUCGAAGGUGCGGGUAUCAAACAGG
rnacentral:rRNA from 1 species